rnacentral:telomerase_RNA from 1 species
UCUUUCUCGGGAUGUGGUUUCUAACCCUAAAAUGGUGUUCCUUCCUGUACUUAACGUUUGCUGUUUUCUCCCCUGGCUUUCAGCAAACUACAGGAGGGAUUUGAAGGCAGGCUGUGAGUAUUUCAGAAUUAAAAAAGCCAGGGAAGUCACUCCCGUGAAGCUCAGUUCCCUGCUUGAAACCCCGUGAAUUGCCGCCGUGGACAGCUUGGCUGCCGCGAAGAGUUCGUCUCUGUUGCUCCGGGGUUUUCCUGCCGGGAAUCUGUCAAUCUGAGCAGAAUAAAACCGAGCGAGGUGCCUCUGCCGAACCCCAGGUGGUCCGGUUAGACAACCUAGGCUCGAACAAUU